CAGGCCUAACACAUGCAAGUCGAGGGGUAACAGGGAGUGCUUGCACUCCGCUGACGACCGGCGCACGGGUGCGUAACGCGUAUGCAACCUACCUUUUACAGGGGGAUAGUCAAUAGAAAUGUUGAAUAAUACCCCAUACGAUCUUUGAGGAGCAUUUCUUAGAGAGGAAAACUACGGUGGUAAAAGAUGGGCAUGCGUCCUAUUAGUUAGAUGGUAAGGUAACGGCUUACCACGGCGACGAUAGGUAGGGGUCCUGAGAGGGAGAUCCCCCACACUGGUACUGAGACACGGACCAGACUCCUACGGGAGGCAGCAGUGAGGAAUAUUGGACAAUGGAGGCAACUCUGAUCCAGCCAUGCCGCGUGCAGGAAGACGGCCCUACGGGUUGUAAACUGCUUUUAUACAGGAAGAAACCUAUCUACGUGUAGAUAGCUGACGGUACUGUACGAAUAAGGAUCGGCUAACUCCGUGCCAGCAGCCGCGGUAAUACGGAGGAUCCAAGCGUUAUCCGGAACCAUUGGGUUUAAAGGGUCCGCAGGCGGUUUGUUAAGUCAGAGGUGAAAGCCUACCGCUCAACGGUAGAACGGCCUUUGAUACUGACAGGCUUGAGUUAUUGUGAAGUAGUUAGAAUGUGUAGUGUAGCGGUGAA
rnacentral:rRNA from 1 species